UACGUAGGUGGCGAGCGUUGUCCGGAUUUACUGGGCGUAAAGGGCGUGCAGGCGGUUUGCUAAGUCUAGGGUGAAAGCUCCCGGCUUAACUGGGAGAGGUCCUUGGAUACUGGCAGACUUGAGGAGGGUAGAGGAGAGUGGAAUUCCCGGUGUAGUGGUGAUAUGCGUAGAUAUGUGGAGGAACACCGAUGGCGAAGGCAGCCCCCUGGGCUAACACUGACGCUCAUGCACGAAAGCGUGGGGAGCAAACAGG
rnacentral:rRNA from 1 species